rnacentral:tRNA from 1 species
GGGAGUGUGGCUCAAGUGGUAGAGUGCCUGCCUAGCAAAUGUGAGGCCCUAAGUUCAAAUCUCAGUACUCCCC